rnacentral:rRNA from 1 species
AGCAGUGGGGAAUAUUGCACAAUGGGCGCAAGCCUGAUGCAGCCAUGCCGCGUGUGUGAAGAAGGCCUUCGGGUUGUAAAGCACUCUCAGUCGUGAGGAAGGUGGUAGUGUUAAUAGCACUAUCAUUUGACGUUAGCGACAGAAGAAGCACCGGCUAACUCCGUGCCAGCAGCCGCGGUAAUACGGAGGGUGCGAGCGUUAAUCGGAAUUACUGGGCGUAAAGCGCAUGCAGGUGGUUUGUUAAGUCAGAUGUGAAAGCCCGGGGCUCAACCUCGGAACUGCAUUUGAAACUGGCAGACUAGAGUACUGUAGAGGGGGGUAGAAUUUCAGGUGUAGCGGUGAAAUGCGUAGAGAUCUGAAGGAAUACCGGUGGCGAAGGCGGCCCCCUGGACAGAUACUGACACUCAGAUGCGAAAGCGUGGGGAGCAAACAGGAUUAGAUACCCUGGUAGUCCACGCUGUAAACGAUGUCUACUUGGAGGUUGUGGCCUUGAGCCGUGGCUUUCGGAGCUAACGCGUUAAGUAGA